UACGGGGGGGGGCAAGCGUUGUUCGGAAUUACUGGGCGUAAAGGGCUCGUAGGCGGCCAACUAAGUCGGAUGUGAAAUCCCCAAGCUUAACCUGGGAACUGCAUCCGAUACUGGAUGGCUUGAAUUCGGGAGAGGGAUGCAGAAUUCCAGGUGUAGCGGUGAAAUGCGUAGAUAUCUGGAGGAACACCGGUGGCGAAGGCGGCAUCCUGGACCGGCAUUGACGCUGAGGCGCGAAAGCCAGGGGAGCAAAGCGGG
rnacentral:rRNA from 1 species